GACGAACGCUGGCGGCGUGCUUAACACAUGCAAGUCGCACGGAGUGGCGAACGGGUGAGUAACACGUGGGUGAUCUGCCUUUCACUUCGGGAUAAGAUUGGGAACCUGGGUCUAAUACCGGAUAGUGCAAGAUGAGCUCGCGGCCUAUAAGCUUGUUGGUGGGGUAAUGGCCUACCAAGGCGAGGACGGUGAGCCGGCCUUGGAGGGUGUACGGGCACAUGGGGACUGCGAUACGGCCCAGACUCCAACGUGAGGCAGCAGUGGGGAAUAUUGCACAAUGGGCGGAAGCCUGAUGCAGCGACGCCGCGUGGGGGAUGAAGGCUUUCGGGUUGUAAACUCCUUGCGACAGGGACGCGGUACCUGUAUAAGAAGCACCGGCUAACUACGUGCCAGCAGCCGCGGUAAUAC
rnacentral:rRNA from 1 species